rnacentral:lncRNA from 1 species
CAGAAACUGCCAUACUGAGAACUGAGCUUCAGCAGCUAAAUCAGGAACUGCAGGGUGUGCAUUAGCAGUGCAGAAGGACAGCCCAAGAACUUGCCAGUCAAGAUGAAAAACUUCUUCUAAUGGAAUCCAGCUUGAAAGCAACUCAAGAGCAGCUAAGUGAGCAAACAGCAGAAACAGUUCACCAAGAACAGAACAGUAGAAAAUCACAGACAGAGCUGAAAGAAGAUCCUGAGAGAACGUAUUAUAGCUUCUGAUGAAGAAAUUAGUGAUUACAAGUGAGUAACUGCUUUUAUAGUAUUUGAUAAACAGAAGACAUUAAAGACAGCAGCAAAUUCUUUUAAUAAGUAUUAUGUUAACCAUUUAUUUCUGGCAAGAUGUAGUGUAAAUAUGUUCUAUAGCUACUGAAUAAACUAUUAAAUCUAAAAGAUUGAUUAAUGUGUACUUUAAAAUAUAUUUUGCACUUAAAAUUAAAAAAAAAUACUUUUGUUAGUGGUCUAUUUUACUUUUGGAAUGAAAAAGAGAAAAAGAUUCUAUGGUGUUGAAGUAGAAUAAUAUUUGUUACUUCUAUCUUAAUAUUAUUCUCAUCUUCCUAUUUUUAGCAACUGAAGUUUAAAUAUGCAUUUUAUUUUCUUUAUUUUUUUUAGAAGCUGUCUCUAAGCAAGAUGCUGCCAAAUAAAAGGAAAUUUAGUGUUUGAACUUUUAGUCACAACAGUAAGGCACAUAUGAGAUUGCAUACUAUACUUGAGAAAAGUUUAAACAGAAAAAUGUACCUCUAUUCUCAGAAAAAAAAAAAAUAGUAUCUAUAAGUUUAUAAGUUUAAAUGUUAGCUCUGAAGAUUUUAAUUAAAAAAUACUAAUCUUCAACAAAUAACUUUUAUAAAUUAUAAUGACUUUAAAUGUAUUUUUAUAUUGAGACACAAAAUGAUACAUUAUUCAGAUUUUUCAAGAUCUACAGUAUGGUAGAAAUGAUUCACUACUGCUUCUUUUUGCCUUAUUGUAUGCAAACUGUUACAUAUGUUAUAUUAAAAAAUUGUUAAAUGUAGAGACAGAAACUCAAGCUGUUUUAUAAUAUCAUAGAGUGCAGGUGAAUGCUUUAUAAAGAGAGCAUGACUGAAAUAAAGUUUAUUCAUUCAGUGGUAGGUUGAACAUUUAAAGAGAAAUGUUUUAUCUCAGAUUUGUACCAAGCAUCAAGGACUGUCUCUACAAAUCUCCUCUGAGAGAAGCUUUGCUAGGUUUAGAUGCAAUAAACAUAAUGUUUCAAAAUCACAAUAUGACAAUGUUAUAAUUUGUAUGCUCAGUGUAAAUAGCUUCUAGACUGGAACUUCACUCUGUAUUCAAAAGUUUAAAGCCAAUUUUUCUGCUGAAGACUGGGAAAAUCUCUAUGGGAAGAAAAAAACGCACAAGAACAAAAACAUUGUCUACAGUAAUAUGUCUUCAUUUCUUUAAAUAAAAUAGCUUGGUGGUUUUCAACUUCUAGUUAUACCUCUAAAGACCUUACUACUACUUCUCUAGGGACAGUAGUGUCACUGAUUUGCUUUCCUAACCUAUCUUGACUCCUUUGCUACAGUAAGCUUUCUUAACCAUUUCAAGUGAUUCUUCAGUUGCCAAAAUGCCAUGUUAUGCAAAUUCCUGUAGAUAUUUACUUCAAAAUUAAAAGGUUAAAAUCUUCUAGGAGUACUGGCUGUAAGUUUGUGUGAUACAGUGAUAGAAAUGGUAGGGGAUGUGGGAGGAUUGAAACCUCCAGCUGUAUCUGAUCAAAUGUGUGAUGAAAUACAACACUUGAUAGAGCAGGAAUUUUGCAAAAGUGAAAUGAGUUUCUCUGUUCUUCAAAUAGAAAGACAAAUGAUAAACACUACAAGACUUUGAGACACAUUUCUUUCUUUUUUUUUUUUUUUAUGAUUUCAUAGUAUACAUUUUGUGAAUAAAUAAAAACUUGGAUGAAUCUGUUAACAUACAAAAAUUCACUAAGCCACCUUUUUUUCUGUUUAUAUUUGAUUUUCUUUUUCUGCUCUAUUUUUCUAUUUCUGUUUUCACCAAACUAAUAUGUUUGUUGGCUUUGGAAGUUUGUUAAUUUAGUACAUGAGCAUAAUGUAUUUUGAGUUAGGGGAGUCUUCAGGUUACAGCUCUAUAGAUUGUCAAGAUUAUUUUUAUAGGCUCUUAGGUUAAUUUUUAUGUUUAAGUUUAUGACACUUGUUUUUUAAAAGUACUGUGAUAUUACUGCACGAUUAUAGAGAAGUAUUUGUUGAAUUAGGAAAAUUAACGCUGUAAAUUUAAAAUUUUAAUAAAGUUGAAAUUAUAAAGAUAAAAACUAAGAAACAAAAUUGAACAUUUUAGAUAUUAAAUUCCCCCUUAAAGAUAACAUUUUACUGAAUACCUGAAAACAAACAUGUUGUGCCAGACAGUAUCUGCUGUGCUCUGUUCCUUGAGAGGCAGAAAGAACAAUGGAUCUCUUUCCCCAUGGGUGUUUGGGGACAGGGAAUGUCGUAAAGGUUAUGUUCAUUUACUAUGAAGGGCACAGCACGUGUUGUAAAGUAACAUCCCUUUGGUGCUGACUUAUUCGAAGUCACAUAGUCCUGGACUUUACCUACCACCCUACUUAGUGAUUCUGGCAAAUGCAGAUGGUAUCAAGGUGAGAGCUUAGGACCUUACAAAGAAAAAUGCAGUGAAGCAUAAAUUGGUGGAUUUAAACUACCGAGAGAGUUAAGAUUCUGCUAUAGCUGUUGUGACGCCUAUAAGGAGAAAAGUCCAUUUUUGUAUGCUUUUAUUUCCUUGUAAUGUAAAUGUACAUUAAAGGAUAUUUCUCCUGGAAGUGGUGUAAAAGGAAAGUACUGAAGAGCAUUUAAAAAACAAUAAAACUAGCAUUAUUUGUGCUAGUUUACAAAAAUAUUUUUUUAUAAAAUAGAAUAAAAAUAUUUUACUAACUGUACUGGAUUCUCAAAAUGCAUGUAUUCCAGGUAUAACCAAAAUUUGUAAGUAGUCACAAGCUAUGUUUGCUAUAUACUUAUUCUGGAUGAAAUAAACCUAAAGUUACACACACUCCCCCCCAGCCUCCAAUAUAAGCCUGUUACACUUGAAAGAUUUGUUCGGAAUGUCCAGUGGGAACCUGGAAAUCGUAAUAAUUUGUAGUAUCGAUUGUGUGAAGCUAUGCAGCUGGGGCCUCUAGUGAAUAGACAGGAAUAGACAUUUUAUUGAUUAACUUUUACAGUCAUAUUUUCAAGACUCUGCUGCAACAUAAUUUUCACUUCCCAGCUUUGUGCUGCUGCAUCAUGAAACUUGAAUUCUUCUCUCUUAACAUUUACCCACCUGAGGGAAACAGUAUGGAGUUGUCUCUUUUAAGCUGCGCUCUGCAGAAAUGCAUAACACUUGACACAGUGAAUUCUUCAAAAUUUACCCUCCGCUGUUGCAAUAAAAUGAAAAAUAUUAAGAAGUGAUAUUAGUAUCACCCAAGUUGAACUGCCCACUCCAUAUGUUAGACGCCAUUGUUUCAUACUUCCUAGUAAUUUUAUCCACCUUUUUUUUUAUUUUUAUUUUCUAAGGGGCUAAGAUUGUGGCAAAAAAAAUUGCCACCCUCCUCACACCACAGAUUCCAGCAGUGCUUAAUGGAGUUUGUCUCAUAAUUAAAUAGGUGAUUUUAUUAGUUACUGGAGAAGAAUAAGUGCUUCCCUGAAAAUGUGAACUAUGAAUUAAAAAAUACUCAUUUUUAAGAGUGACAGCCUGUGUCAAAUAAAAUUCCUUGUAAAAGUACAGAAAGGGCAGUUUUUCAUUAUAAUUAUCAAUCUAUCAUUUAACAAUGUAAAAAUAUGUACCAAAAUAGUAAACAGACUAGUCUUAGAAAGCAUUAUUUCACAUUUCUGAAGUUAUUCGUUUUCAGAAAAGAAAAAAAAAAGGGGGGGGGGGGGCAUUUUGCCAUUUUGUAAAGAACUGUUGCAUAUUUUCUGAUUUUUUCCCAGUAUGAUUUGCAUUCUAAAUCAGAUGCCCAAGCCACUAUUCUUUCAUGCUGAUAAAAUUGCUGGUAAAAAUCUCAAUCUAUCAUUUUUUUUUUCAUCUAAUGACUGUUUCUUUGUUGUUGUUGUUGUUGUUAUUUUACAUGGUAACUUUUACUUGAAUGCUGUUUGCAAUGUAAGUUUGAUAACAGCUUUCACAAAAUAGGACAAAUAUUCACAUACAUUGCCACUGGUGCUAAUAUGAUUUAGACUUCUGUCAUUCUAUUAUUUUUCCUAGAGAUAUUUUAUUACUAGUGUCUUCUAAGUAUCUAAAUGUUUAAGAUAUUUGUGGUCAUGUUUCCUUUUGUCCUCCCGCUCAUCAGAUACAUCUCAGUGUGCACUGUAUGGAGACACCAAAGCAGAAAUACUCGCAUAGAUGACAGAAUGUUCAUCUUGUUUGCAGUUGUCUAAACUCUUACAGAAAAAAUCCUGAUUUCUCUUAAAAAAGCAGAAAACUGUGUGGAGAACUUUAAGGUAAGAAUAAAAGGAUCAAAGAAAGUUGGAGAACAGGUGCUACUCAAGGCCUCAGUAUCCACUGGACCUGAAAUAACCUUGAAACAGAAUCAUUCUCGAUCAGAUGAAUAACGAGAAAAUUUGUUAAGAGUGCAUAGAAUUAUAUUUUUCUAAUGGACAAACUUCAUUGUACAGCAAUAUGAGAAAAGAAAUAUCACAUCCUCAUGACUUACUAGACCUCAGUCUUUCAAACAUAUACAGAUGUCAGCAGUUUCAUGAAGCCAAUUACUCUAUAACCAUGUGAAAAACUGUUCAUGAGUUUGCAAGAUUUAAGAUGAAGAUUGUUUUAAUAUUAAGGAUUACUCAGUAUUUUAUUUAGUAGUUGCAAUGCUUUAUUAUAGAAGUUAUGUUGUAAAUCAUGAUGAUUGUAGAAAAUAAAUGAAACAACUGAUCAUUUUACUUCAGAUUCAUUUAACACAAAUCCAAAUGAAUGUGAUUUGUGCAUGUGAGAAUGCAUGUGCAUGCUCUUGUGGUUUAGUUAAAGAAGGAAGAAGUCAUGUUCCCUCUUCUGAAUGUUUGUAGAGAUGUUUAAGUGAGAACAAAGUAGUAAGUUAGUAAGAUUUUUAUGUUCUCAGUAGAUAACUACCAUAGUAGUCAGACCACUGUGAACAGCAUGUUAGCUUCAUUGCUCAAUUUCAUGUUUAUUUUUCUAUUUUUUUUUCUAUUUGGAAAUAUGCAUGAUGAGGCUUCUUGUAGUUAUAAAACAAACAAACAAACAAAAAAACCUUUUUAUCGUGAAUUAAAGCAAUGAAAAUUUAUAAGAAAUUAGAAAAAAAUAAUUGAAAUAAUUAAGAUAUUUAUCUAUAUUAAAUAAGUUAGAUAUCAUAUAUAGCAAAAUGUUUUUCAGGAAGUGCAAUUGCAGAAAUUCACAACUAGUUUUAUUUCUUGCAUUUGACCCGAGAAGUCUGAUUUAAUUGUAGAAAAAAUAAAGGCCAGAUAGCUCCAUUACUUUACCUGUUUCACCUUAAAAAAAAAAAAAAAAAAAAAAAAGGAAUAUCUGAACCAUUUUAAUUGACUUAUAUUGUUUAGUGGGAUUUUAAUGCAUAAGACAUAAAUCAUAAACAUAGAAGUAUAAAAGUAUAGCUAAGAAAUGAAAUGUACAUGAACUCUUUGCUUUUUUAAAAGUACUGCAGAAUUGAAGACUUGAAGUGAAAAUUUAUGUUUAUUGAAUUUCAUAGUACCUCUGACACAAACACAUAAAUAAAUUACUGAAAUAAUAGUAAUAAUAUAGCAGAUGACCAUCCUAGAGUAGAAUAUGAUCCUACACAUUUAUGUCUUCCUAGGCAGUAUAGUUACUACUGGGAAAAAUUGAAUUGAUUGCAACGGAAAUAUACCUGACAGUAAGCAUUUACAGUGGCAGGCAAAAUUAUUUAAGAAAAGAGAAUAUAAAAUUAAGAAAGACAGAUGGAGUCAUAAGAGUGAAAUACAAAUAGUCUGAAUCAGGAUUGAUUUCAACAUAAUGUGGUGGAGGAAUCCCCAUUUAUUGAUCAACUUUAAAGCCUAUGCACAGCACUUAAAAAGAUAAAGUAAGCAAGGUCAGAUAAUCAAAGCAUUUAAAUAGUAAAAACAGCAACUGCCACUGUAGACUGCUAAAAUAAAUCCAUAAUACAAAUUGCUUUAGCAAAAAGUGGAUGAGUAGCUGAUCUUCCUAUUGAACUUUAUACUGUUCAGUGACCACACUGGGAAAAGGAUUGGGAGAAAUGCCUUGAAGAUCAAUAUUGAGUGAGAUGUAGCAGGGAUUCAUUCUGAACAUGAAAGAAUUACAAGUAUGAGAGUAGAGAUCUUGAAGAAAUGUCAUCAAGAAGGGACUAUUCUUUUAAAAAUAUCACACAUAUUACAAAAAAGUGACAUUAGUUGAUAUUCUAUCAUGAUCUCAGAACACUGAAAUCUUAUUAAAUCAACUAUUAUUACAAAACAUGAAAAUAACAAAAAGAAAGUGAAUAAUAUUACUAAAAAUACUUUGAAAAAAUCAGUAAAUUUUGUCUUAAAAAAAAGAUUUUAAAAUAUAUUAAUUUAUUAAUUAAACUGGCACGUGCAUAUGCAAUUAACACAUUUAAGUAUUAUUAUUUCCUUUUUUUUUUUUUCUAAAUAACAUUUUAGUAGAUAUUUUUAUUGCAUUAUAGAAACUGGAAGGAUCUAUUGCAAAUGCUCCAAAUUUCAAUUCAACCUAAGCCUUUACAGGCUUUUCAUUAAAAUAAAUAAAUAGAUAGAGAGAUAGAUAUGUGCUAUCACUUUCAGUUCUACAUAACUUUCAUCCAGCACUGUUUGAGACGUAUUUAUGAGGAAAAAAUCCUAGAUGUAGCAGUACUACAGUAGCUCAUUGUCUUAUAUCUAUUGAAUCAAUUGACACUUGUAUUAUAUUAUCUCAUGAGAAGUGCUGAAUUUUCAUGUACUGUUGCCCCUUAUAAAUAUAGAAUACUAGGUUUUUGUUUGUUUGUUUGUUUCAUUUCUGGUCAAUCAUCUUACUAAUAAAAAAGUAUUCUUGCCAGAAAGUUAUUACUAUCAGUGUUUGAAAAUACAGGGCUGCUCUGAAAGUAAUGCUUUUGUUUUUUUUAUGUUGGCCAACAACAUCAGACACAAAUGUGGGAGGUAUGACAGUAGAUGUUGAACUUUCCCACCAAUAUUCUGUUACGUUUUGUUGCCCUGUGACAGAUGGCAACAGAGCGGGCAGUCUGUCAACAUGACACGUGACCUGGAAGUGCAUAUGAAGUAAAUGUAUGUCAUUGAAUUCCUCCAUGUGGAAAAAAUGGCACCCACUGACAUUCACUGGCACUUGCUGAAUGUUUCUCGAGACCCAACAGUGAAUGUGAGCACAGUCAGGUGGUGGGUGGUGUUUUUCAGCAAUGGUGACAGUGUGUCACUUCCUCUGGUGCAGAUUUUUAUGAGCACAGCAUGCAGGCUAUAGUUCAUUGCAGACAAAAAUGCAUAGUUCAUCACGGUAACUAUCUUGUAAAAUAAUGUUUUGUAGCUGAGAAUUUGCUGUAUCAAGUAGUGAUCAAAUAUCAAGUAGUGUUGUUGUACUCUAUGUAUUUCUUGUAGUUUCCAUGGAAAUAGAUACAAAGAAUUAUUUUUUUAGUGACCUAGGUAUUUGUAUUUGAAACAAUAAUACACACACACACACAAUUUCGAGUAUUUCAGAAAUAUAUAUAUAAAGUAGAUAUAGUAUUCAUAUUUUCUAUGAACACCCAGUUCAGCAAAAUAUAGUAGAAAACUGAGUCCCAAAAGCAUAAAGUUUCUUCACUAUUGUAAACCUAUAGUAUACCUUCUUGUAAUGAAUAAUUAUUUACAACUAGUAUUGGUUCCAUAUUUACAGUAGGAAUUGCUGAUUACAGCAAUUUCAAUAGCAAAUUUGUGAAACAAUAUUCACAGUUGUUAGAGAAAGGUCAGCUUCUUUGCAUUCAUUAGGAACUUGGAGGACCAUUCACCGUAUUUUUCCUUUGGGGUGCUUAUAGUUAUUGAUUUGUACAUAUCUAUAGGAAAAAUUAAUUACAAUUAUUUUUCAUUUACCACUGGAGGCUGUGUAAUAAUAAUUGUAAUAACAAAGUUCAGCACAAAAAGAGGAAAAAAAAAAAGAAAAAAGAAAAAAAAGAAGAAACAGCAAAUUAAAUAGCAAUAAUUUUAAAAAAUUAAUAUUGUUAGAUUUAACUUGUUUAAAAUAAUAUCUUCUGAAUUGCCUGAGGAAAUCUCUUAUAUAACUUCCAUUAAUAGUCACAAUGUUUUUAUUUUAAUGGAAGUGCGUAGGGCACUUACAGUGAUGUGAUAUAAGGUAUUCACAACUUUUCUCCCUAUGAGUGAUCUGUAAAGAUGCUUAUAAACUCAGAAAACAUUUAAUCACAUGCUUAAUUUUCCUUACAUAGGGAACUUAAAUCAUGUAACCAGUAUAGUUAUUAACUUCAAAAUGUGAUUUAAGUGAAAGAAUAAUCCUGGCAUAAUAAAUUAAAUUAUUUGCAUGCUUACAUUUUUACUCUAGUUCUUAAGGGUCUUUCAAGAACAAGAGCUAUAUAAAACCGAAUGGAAACAUUAUAGUCAUUGUCUCCUAACUCCUUAGGUCUGAAAAAUGUGAGUAAUGCCUCCAGAAAAGCUUAAAUGGGAAUCACGCCAAGAAUGUGGGACCAGGAAAGUCAAAUUGUCAGACUGAGACAAAACUUUGUGGAAAUGGAAGAAGAAGUAAAGAACUUAAGACUUACACACAGCAAUGAUGCUCAGAUGAUUGAUAAGAAUCUGAAUACUCUGAGAAAUGAGAUGAACUUGUAUGAAGACACAUAGGAUGGUAGUCAAAUGAGCUGAAGUUUAAAUAUGAACAACACAAUGCAACACUGAGGCCUGCAUGACUGUAAGAAUGUUAGGUAAGACCCCUUAGUUACUUUUAGACAACUGUUUCUCUGGAAUGUUUCUUUAAUAGAUAUUAAGUCCUUGAAGAGAAAUAGAUUUCUGUAGCUUUGUUUUGCCACUUCAUUUUCAAAUACUAAAUUGAAAAACUGUGUAGAAAGGGAAAUAAUAUCAUAGUAAUUUUAUCAUAAAAGAUACUCAUCAUUUUUUUAAUUAAAAAUAUUCUCUUGUGCAGCUAAUGUUUAGGUGAAGAAAAUGGUGUAGAAUUUUUCAAUACUGAAGUGUAUGAUUUCAAGUCUUGUUUUCAUCCUGUGCAAAGUCAAAUAACUUGUGGACAAAGAAUACAUAAUUUUCCAAAUCUGUGAACUGAAAAUAGAAUGACAGCAGCACGUUUUCUUGAAAACUAAAAAAGAAGAAGAAAUAAUAAAACAAAGAUUUUAUUUUAUUUAACCAUAAGUACUUAUGGAAAACAAAAACAAACAAACAAACAAAAAUGGAUAUUGCAAAUGCAGAUGGUGCACAUUGAUACUCAUAAUUACUAAAUACACUUUCCGUAUCUCAUAACACAUUAAUAUACAAUAUAAAAAGAGCUGGAAUAGUUAUAGUCAUUUUCUUUUUACUGCUAAAAAAUUGAAUUUAUGUCAGUUAGUGUAUUGAAAGCUCUGAAGUGUCACUAAAAAGUGAAGUUUAUAAUUAUUCGGACCUACUAUCAGAAAUUCCUUAAGAUUGUUACAGCUCUUACAAUAAAUAUUUGUCUGCCCCGUAUUUGUAAAAACAUACAAUAUUGGAACAACAACAACAACAAAAAGUUAAGUAUUGUUUUGAACUGGGAAACACUAAGUUGUGAUAGAUUUGCAGUAAUACUCUUGAAAAUAUAAUUUAAAUUCACACUUAUAUUUGUGAUAAAAAAUGCUUCAUGGCAUUUUGUAACACUUCUAUAGGGCAUCACUAUUACCUCGGUUUGUAUUGAGACACUGUUGCUGUUUGAAAAGUUAAUCAUGCAGUACUGCUCCAUUCCCCUGGGAGAAAGGUGCUGGGGAAGGAAAAAAUCCAAUUGAGGUAGCAGAAAUUAAUUUAUUAAAAGGAAUGUGAGAUAAUAGAGAAUAAAUAAGAGUAAUAAAUCAAAACAAACCAAAAAUAAAACUGGAGGAGAGAGAGAGAGUCCAUCCAAAUCUUUAUCAGCAGGCCCUCCACUGUUUGCUUCCUGUAAAAGACAAGAGAGUUCUUCCCUUGUAACCCAGAAUUGGAACCAUGUGGAGGCUGCUGGAAAAUUCAGUACAUCCCAGUGCAUCUUUGCCUGGGGGAGUCAGAACUCACAUGAGAUUGCUAGAGAUAAACAGGAAACACAUCUCCGCAGUGCACUGUGCACUCUGCGUCCAACAGCCUGUUGCAUGAUAUUACGAUAUGGAAUAUUGAUAUAACCAGAACAGAGAUACAGUUGCAAUAUUUAAUAACUUAUAAUAUUGGACAAAAUAAAAAAGCUGCAAUUAAAAAAAAAAAAAAAAAAGGCCUGAAUAAUAGUUGUGAUAAUAAUUUAGUUUUUAUUAUAGCAGUUUACAGUCAGAGAUUUCAUAUUUUCAGAAGAUGUGCAAUUAUUGUUAUUUUUAAUACUAUGAUUUUACUUGUGUGUAAUAUGAUUUUACAUUUAUAUAUGUACUUUGAGGUAUAAAAUUGAUUUUUUUUUUUUUUUUUGGAUCACAGGAUAGAAAAUUGUCUUUGGUAGCAGCAAAGAUUAAAAAAAUAGUAUCACUUAAAUAAAUACAUGUGAAGAAGCCAAAUUUGUAACAAAAAGGAAACCAGUAAAUGAAUUCACAAAAGCCAGCUACUACAUAGCAAAUCUCUGUAUAAAUGGGCUGAGAGUAUGUACCAAGAAGAAGUUUUUAAGCUUAAAAAGCAUGAAAAUCACAAAGCAGAACUGGAAGAAGACACAGAAAAAUACUGCCAUGUAAAGGAAGAGCCUUCAGAACAAGGGUCUCAGCUCAAAAUUAGCUAGCUGGUCCAUUCUGGAGUGGGAAAACUGAUAAAAUGCCGCAGUACUCAGGUAAUACCCUUGAUACAAUAUGUGGAAGGGAGACAGUGUUUGAAGUAAUAUCAGUGAAUGUAUCAGAGUACUCUCAGAGAAUUUUUCCAACGGAUAAGGAAAUAUUAUUUAAAUAAUACUAACUGUAAAAUUCACUCAUGAGUGAUUGAGAAAACAUGAGAAAUAUUGUUGAAAAUAUCAAGUCAAUAUAACAGCAGCAUUUCUUCUUUUAAAAGUGUUGUGGGUGGGAUUCACCUUGUUGAACUGGAGGUAGGAAUAUUUGAAAUAGAUGUCUAAGUUCCAUUGCUGUCAUUGGAGACUUAAUCAACUCAGUGAGUGAAAUCAAGGGCUAUCAAUACCUUUCAUUACCCAAAGUGAACCUACAGAAAAGCUGGAGAGUGACUCUUUAUCAGGUAGCAUUGUCAUAGGACAAGGGAUAGUUGCCUUCAACUAAACUAGAUUAGACAUUAGAAAGAAAUUCUUCACUAUGAGGACAGUGAGAUACUGAAAUAAAUUGUCCAUAGAAACUGUGGAUGCUCCAUCUCUGGGAGCAUUCAAACGUAGGUUGAGUGAAGCCCUUGGCAACUUGAUCUCAUGGAAGGUGACUGUGCUAUGGCAGGGAAUUAGAACUAGAUGAAUUUAAGUUCUCUUCCAAACCAUUUUAUGAUUCUAUGACUAAAUAUUGAUCCAAUCAAUAUUAAGGUUUUCAGAGGAGCUGAAAAUCAAUCCCAGUGACAAUAUUAUUCAUUGUGAUAGAACACAUUCACACACCGUAAUGCAGACAUCCAAAUUUGGGUAAGAAUAAUCAGAUUAGAAAAGUUAGCCUUUUUGCAGCAAUUCAUUAUAUAAUACGGAAUUAUUUUAUUUAUUUUUGUUACUAAUAAGAGUACUAGAUGUUUCACAAGCAUAGAUACUGGUCAAUUAUCUGAGCAAUAUCCAAUAUAUAAAUACACAAAGUUAGAAGGAAAUGAUCAAUGCCAGAGAGAAAUAAAAGUUAAAAUAAUACAUGCUUUUUCUUCUGUGUCUGAGAGAAUGUGAGUAGAUGUGAAAGUUGGAAAACCAAAAGAAUUAGUAGUAUGACAACAUUCCUUUUCUACCCUAGCAUUGUCAAAAGAUAACAAGAUUAAUUCUCUGCUGUAGUAUUUCACUACAGUAGUGUGUUAAUUUGAGGGGCUUGGCUGAGCCUUAUUCAGCAUAUAAUUAGAAUUUACUGAACUUUAAUUUCUUAUCAUCUUUAGGCUGCAUUAUCAAAGUGUUUAUAUUGAAACAUUCAAAUGUUCAGUUAAAAAUAAACUUCAGUUUGUCAAGGAUACAUUGUAUACAAAUUCUGUGGAAAUAUUUGAAUAAAAUUGUUCACUUUUGCUUUGUGAGAAAUGCUUUGCACUUUACAUAUUUAUAACAUAAUGUCAUUAGAGUAUGUAUCUUAGAAAUAUAGCAAUUUCCUGGUGAAUUUAUUGAAUAAAUGCUUAUCUAAUAAGUAAUUUGAGAGUAGAGAAAGAUCUAAUGAAAAGCUAAAUACACAGUGAAAUCCUAAUCAAGCAAUUGAAAUAGUUACUCAUGAUAAAACUAAGAUUAUCAGAGUAUCAGAACACAAAUUACUCCAUUAAUCUUUUGAAUUAGUCAGUUCUUAUUUUCUGAAGCUAAGUAACUUGGGAAGGUACACUCAAGGUUUCAUCUUUCUGAAGACUGUAUUUAUUACCUUUACUUUCAUAAAGAGUUCAUUAGAAAGAAUAUUACAGUGAAAUACGUUAACUUUUUAGCCUGUUUUAAUGAGGUCAUGUGAGUCUUUAAUUAUCUGACAUAAAACUGCUUAGUUUUACGUAGUAUCUACAGAUACUAAUUAGUAUCUACAUAUAUACAUUAGUAUCUACAUCAAUUAGUAUCUACAGAUAUUAACGGAUUCAUAUGUCAUAAAGCCAGAAGAAACGCUGUUAUUGAAUCUUAUAUGUGGCACAAUGCAGGCCACAGGACUUCACUGAAUUGAGUAGUUGUAAGAGAUUAUUCUUUUAUAUGAUUGACUCAAAGUUUGCUGAGGAACAAGUCCAGGCAAGUCCUGGGCAAAGGUACAGAAAUCUUCUGUCUGGAGGACACUGAUGGACAGGUCCUGGCUAAAGGAUUGUGAAGUCCUUUAAGGAGCACAGAUGGACGAGGCCAGGGGCAACGAGAGAGGGAUAAGCUGCUGAUAAUGGCUGAGAAAUGGUCUUUUGUGUGGACUUAUCUAGAAGAAGAUGGCCAUCUCAGGAGCUACGCACAUGACUCUUGCUCAAGCACCCAGGGAUGUCACGUAGGCAGGAAAAAGAGGAGGAUAAAAGAGGGUCUAACAACCAUGAGGAGAGGGUUUCUGCCAUCAGAUCCCUCACCACGACGGACUCAAGGUUUCUGCCAUCAGAUCCUUCACUACGGACCAUAUGCUGAUGGACUUCCCUGGGCCUGCUACCUGAGACCUGCUGCUUCCUCCCAGACUUACUCUGCGGCUUCUUCCUGGACCCACCCGGUACCUGCACCCUCUCGUUGCCCAAGACCGGCCUCGCUGCUCCUGCCCUUCAGCCUCGGACCAUCAGAACAUCGUGCAACAGGACUACUGCUGGUGGUGACUAUCCCCGCUUUAUGCAAUUCUUGCUUCUUUCUAUCUUUUCUAUCGCUCGCCUUCCCUUUCCCAUCACCCCAAUCCAUAAUAGUGUCCGUCCUCCCCUUUCUUCAUCUCCCUUAUUAACAUAUGUAAUAAACUGGUCGGACCAACAUUUGAACCGUUGUUUCUUAAUCUCACGCCGGGCAUACAUAUUUCAAAGAACCUCCUCUCCCUCCUAUAAAUUGGAGUGAGACAGUAGUACAUUAUGUCUAAGUAAAUGUGAUUAAAAUGGAGUAUAUUAAAAUGGAGCAUACAUUUUUUAUACAUUCUUGACUUUAAAUAUACACAAUGUUAGAGAAUUCAUUACGGUCUUUCACAGGUUGCCUCAAUAGUUAGUAAAACAUAUAGCAUGCUGACUGUUCAUCAUUUUAGCAUCUUUCUUGGAAUGUUAUACAAAUCUCAACAUAUAUAAAAAUAGUUUUUAUGUCAUCUUUAUCAAUAACAUUUGAAAUAUCAUAAAACUGAAAGAGCAGAUAGUUUUACAAGAUGUGUUUACAGUAAAUCCACAGUAACUUUGGUUAUUAUAUUAAUGCACAUUUGUUAUAUGUAUCUACAGCUAACACAAAUUACUGUGGAAUUAUGAUAUUAGCUGUCCUGAUAUUUUGCUUGAAAGAGAUAAGUAACUACCCUCCUUGAAUUACUUGAAUCACCCUCUUAAAACCUAAGAAAUAUUAGCACAGAAUUAACAGAUAAAUUAAUCUGUACUGUUUUGGAAGUUUUUAAGGUUGUCAAGACCAAACACUGUAAAUAUGGCCUAGAAAUUCUUUUCAAAAGCACUUCAAAAGCACUUAGAUAUGUUUUACGUAGACAAUUUGAAAUAUAUUUAUACUUAUGUGAUUGCAGUCACUUUUAUCCUAAGACUAAAAUACCAUACAUUCUUCAGUUAUAAUAGAAUAUUUCACAUGAAGGGUUCUACAGAGAUCAUCAAGUCCAACUGCCUGACAACUUCAGAGGUAACCACAAGUUAAGCGUAUUACUGAGGGCAUUAUCCAAAUGCAUCUCAAGUAAUAUUAGGCAUGGGACAUCAGUCAUCUCAUUGCAGUGAGAUAAAAGCCUGUUCCACUGUUUGAUGAUAAAUAAAUGUCCAGUAUAGUCUGAAACUCCCCUGGCACAGCACAGCUGUGUGCCACUCCUGUGCAACCUGCAAUCAGCACAGAAGAUACCAGGGAGCAGAGACCAGCACCUCCCUCUGUACUUCCUCUCCUCAAGGAGCUGCAGAGAGCAGUAAAGUCAUCUUGUAGACUCCUAUUCUCCAGGCUAGACAGUCCAAGAGUCCUCACCCUUUCCUUACUAGACAUGUCUUCCAUUCUGAUUACCUGCUUUGUUGCCAUUGUCUGGACACUUUUAGAUAUCUUAAUAAUGUUUUUAUGUUGUGGGGCAUACAUUAUUCAAGGUGAGGUUGCACCAACUCCAAAUAUAUCAGGACAAUCACCCCAAAAAGCAGUUUGCCCUUUUGGCAACCAACACUGCUGGUUCAUACUGAGCCUGCUAUCAUCAGCCCUCCUAGAUCAAUUUGUUCUGAGCUGCUCUCCAGCCAUUCAUCUCUCAGUUUGUGUCAUCUCUCAGGUACUGUGCCAGGCAUAGUACCUGACAUUUACCUUUGUUGAACUUCACGCCACUGUUUCCCCAGUGCUCCAAUCCAUCCACAUUGCUCUACAAGACCUCAGCAACACAACUGACCAUCUACUAGCCAAAUGGGUCUCCAUCACUACAACACUUUGAGUUCUACCAUUGAGCCAGUUUAUCACCCUGCAUAGUGUGAACAUACUUAUCUCACAGUUGGACAAUUUGUACAGAAAGUUGCCAUGAAGGAUCAUAUCAAAGGCUUUACUGAAUUCUAGAAAGAUGACGUACGCUGCCUUCCUUCAUCCACCAAGUGGGUAAUCUUAUAAAAAGAAAUCAAAGCAAUGAAGACAGGGCUUUCCCUUCAUGAACCCAUAUUGACUAUGCCUGACAAUGGCUUUGUCCUUCAAGUGCCUUUCAGUAACACUCACUAUAAUCUUCUCCAUAAAUUUUUAGGGUACUGAAGUUAGGUUAACAAGUCUGUUACAGAUUUGUUACUUUUGUUACUUUGUUUUCAGUAAGUUCUUUCUCUUUAUUUUUUGUUUGUUUGUUUAUUUUACUUUGUUUUGGGAAGAGGAGAGCUUGUGGUGGGGAGUGGGGUUUUGUCAUCUACGUAGUGCUAUUGAAGAUAAUACUACUUUUUUAUAUUUAAACAUUUGAUCCUCAGAAAGUUUCAUCCUAUUCUUUCAUGUUUACGAGAUUUUUCUCUCUUCAAACACUUUUUUUCUUUGUAUGAACAUUUGCAAAUGAGUGUGUACAUGCAUAUCAAUGACCAUGAGUACAUGGGGCUUAUCUGUUCCUCAAAAAUAUGACUUGGUCAAAAUUACUUUUGCAUAAAGAACAACUGAAUUUCAGCAACGUAAUCCUUUCCUACUCAUAAGUCUUAAAUUAAUGUGCAAAAUUGAAUUAAUCAGCAUAUUUAAUUACAAUUUUUUUGUUAAACUUAUUUAUCUGUGAAGGUGUUAUGUAUAAUUUUUGAAAGUUAAUGGAUACAUUAUUAAGCAAAGAGUAACAGCUCCAACAAACCAGAAUUAUUUAAGUCUCUGAGGAAAACUAAGAUUUCCCUUCUGAUUCAUCUUUAAAAUCCUGUUUUCAACAUCUUUGCAAAGUUAAUUUUAGUUUUUUAAAAGCCAGGUAACUUAAAAUAAUUUUUCUGCCCUUCAUUCCUCUUUUGUUUAUCGUGUUUUUCAGAAUGUUGUUCCAUUAGUGACUUUGAAGUCAGUGAUGUUAGAUCAAAUUAUUCAAAUUACUAGCUUUUGUUGUUGCUGGUGCUGUUUUGUGGGUUUUUUUUCUUUUGUUUUGUUUUGUUUUGAUUUUCCUCUUAUGAAUGUAAUUUACUGGUGUAGUGGUUAUUAGAACAGAACUUCACAGUGUUUGUGUUUUGUCUUAAUUAUAAGUAAUUUUAUAUCACUAAUAUUAUCAGUAAACUUGUUUGUGUAUAUUUUACUCAAUGAAAUGUUAAUGCCAAACUUUGAACAGAAACUGUACUGACUACUUCUAUCUUAAAACAGACAGUACCAGUAGCUGAUUGUUUUACUUUUGUUUCCUUUCAUCAAACAACUCUAUUCAGAAGGUGAAAAUUUCCUUUUCUUCUUUUUGAUGGAAUUUCUUUUCAUUUCUCCCCUUUCUUUUCAUAGUUUUACAAACGGUCAGUUACACAGUUUAUUACAAAAUAUGUUGAGGCACAUGCCUAGAAGGUGUGUUGAAUGGCAUACUCCAUCUACUUGUGGCAUCUAUGCAUAUUAAGUUGUUAAAAGCAUGUUUGUCAAACUUAUAUGACAGUUUUAGCAAUUGUAAAAACGCAUAUUUGCUAUGCUAUGCUAGAAGAAGAGGAAGAAAAAGAAGAAGAGAAGUGAAAAAAGAGAGGAGAGGAGAGGAGAGGAGAGGAGAGGAGAGGAGAGGAGAGGAGAG